rnacentral:rRNA from 1 species
AAUAGAUACCCCGGUAGUCCUUGCCGUAAACGAUGUAUACUUGGUGUAGCUGGAAUCAACCCUGGCUGUGCCGGAGCUAACGCGUUAAGUAUACCGCCUGGGGAGUACAGUCGCAAGGCCGAAACUCAAAAGAAUUGACGGGGACCCGCACAAGCAGUGGAGCAUGUGGUUUAAUUCGAUGCAACGCGAAAAACCUUACCCAGGCUUGACAUGCAGUGGACAGUGCCAGAGAUGGCAUCUUCCUUCGGGACCGCUGUACAGGUGCUGCAUGGCUGUCGUCAGCUCGUGCCGUGAGGUGUUGGGUUAAGUCCCGCAACGAGCGCAACCCUUAUUGUUAGUUGCCAACAUUUUAGGUGGGAACUCUAGCGAGACUGCCCGGGUUAACCGGGAGGAAGGUGAGGAUGACGUCAAGUCCGCAUGGCCCUUAUGUCUGGGGCUACACACGUGCUACAAUGGCCGGUACAAAAGGCAGCAAAACCGCGAGGUGAAGCAAAUCCCAAAAGCCGGCCCAGUUCAGAUUGUAGUCUGCAACUCG